rnacentral:rRNA from 1 species
GAUGAACGCUGGCGGCGUGCCUAAUACAUGCAAGUCGAGCGAACAGACGAGGAGCUUGCUCCUCUAACAUUAGCGGCGGACGGGUGAGUAACACGUGGAUAACCUACCUAUAAGACUGGGAUAACUUCGGGAAACCGGAGCUAAUACCGGAUAAUAUAUUGAACCGCAUGGUUCAAUAGUGAAAGACGGUUUUGCUGUCACUUAUAGAUGGAUCCGCGCCGCAUUAGCUAGUUGGUAAGGUAACAGCUUACCAAGGCAACGAUGCGUAGCCGACCUGAGAGGGUGAUCGGCCAAACUGGAACUGAGACACGGUCCAGACUCCUACGGGAGGCAGCAGUAGGGAAUCUUCCGCAAUGGGCGCAAGCCUGACGGAGCAACGCCGCGUGAGUGAUGAAGGUCUUCGGAUCGUAAAACUCUGUUAUUAGGGAAGAACAAAUGUGUAAGUAACUAUGCACGUCUUGACGAUACCUAAUCAGAAAGCCACGGCUAACUACGUGCCAGCCGCCGCGGUAA